AUUGAACGCUGGCGGCAGGCCUAACACAUGCAAGUCGAGCGGAGCGUCGGAAGGGUGAGUAAUGCCUAGUAAUCUGCCUGGUAGUGGGGGAUCACGUCCGGAAACGGGCGCUAAUACAGCAUACUAUCAGAUUAGUCUAGGUUGGAUUAGCUAGUUGGUGGGGUAAAGGCCUACCAAGGUGACGAUGCGUAACUGGUCUGAGAGGAUGAUCAGUCACACUGGAACUGAGACACGGUCCAGACUCCUACGGGAGGCAGCAGUUGGGAAUAUUGGACAAUGGGCGAAAGCCUGAUCCAGCCAUGCCGCGUGUGUGAAGAAGGUCUUCGGAUUGUAAAGCUCUUUAAGUUGGGAGGCGUUACCAACAGAAUAAGCACCGGCUAACUUCGUGCCAGCAGCCGCGGUAAUAC
rnacentral:rRNA from 1 species